GCCUGGGCAUAUCAUUCUCAUCUAAUUUCAGAAAUGAACCAAAGUUAGGCUUGGUUUGUACUUGGAUGGGAUAUCACCAGGGAAUACCAGAAUGUUCAGGUA
rnacentral:rRNA from 1 species